rnacentral:lncRNA from 1 species
AGUUCUCCAAAAAUACACAACGUUGCAAAUUUACAGAUACAAGUGUAUCUCAUUUGAGCUUUGAGCAUUAAGGAAAAAAAACAAUCAGUGGGCGCUGCUCGGCAGAAUCACUAUACUUAGCUAUGGUUAAGCUAGUUAGGUUAUAUCGUAUUAUGAAACAAUUACAGAUGCCAAAAUUGCUCCAAUUUAUUCACUGAAACGACAGUGGACCCAUGAUCUGAAAAACAGCCACCUCUCCCAAAUCAAACCUCAAUACAAUGCACACAAACCGGGUAUCCUUUGCCCCCACCAUGAAGUUACAAAACCCAAAAGGAGUUGUGCUUCUUUAAUUCCAUGUGCACAAAAAUCAGGAACUACUCUUGAGACUCACCUCUAGAUUUUGCCCUGUUCUCGAGAUCUCUGAUACGGUAAAUGAGCACAGAGCUAGAUUGCUUGCGCUCCUUGUCGGCAAUAGGAGAAUCAACUCCAGAUUGCUCGCCCUCCUUGUCUGCGAUAGAAGAAUUAACUCUAGGACUUGGCUUAGGUCCACCAAAGAGGCUUAAGGCUUGCAUUCGUGCAGGUGUUGGCUGAGAUUUCAAGGGAGGAAGAUCCAACCAUAGCCUUAUGGCUGGUCUCCGGAUAACUGAGAAAAGCAAGAUAACUUUUAUCAGUUAAGGAAUAGGCAGAGGCUAUGAAACCACAAUAGAUCCCAAGGUGGCAAGUAACAUACCAACACCGGAUACAAGUGAGAACAAAUUCGAUGUGACCCAGUAAAAGAAAAUUGCCUGUAAAAGAAAAAAGAUUAAUGGAAGCACAGAUGUACAAAUUAUGAUGUUAUAGUUCCAAGGUAAUCAAAGCUGAGCAUAUCUGGGAUGAGAGUGAAUGCUAAAUUUGGAUUAUCCUCAGGAUAAGUAUAGACUUUUUAGGAAGUAGGAACAACUAGCAAAACUUGCACCACAAAUAGCCCCCUUACCACCAGUCUUUUCGUUCAUUGCAGCAUAUACUUUGACAGUAUUUUGGGGUAAAACAACUAGCCGUAGCUUCUAGAGCAGUAGCAAAAUCUAAAUGGCUGCUCCAAAAUGUACAAUACAAAUUAGACUUCCUCUCUAACCCAUUUCGAGAUGAUCUUAGAUGGCCCCAAUACACCUCCCCUGAAAUUAUUUUGAAUGUAUGGCAAAAGUAGGCAGCCAUAGCUUUCAGUCAUGGUAGUAGAGAAGCACAGACAGUCCUAAUUCUGGUUGUGGUUGUAAAGAAGUUCAGACAGUCAUAAUUCUCGUUAUGGUUGUAGAGAAGUACUAGGUAGACUUUCCCGGUCCAGGCCUGGUAUGGCCAGUUUCAGAACCAGACUGUCUGUGUCCAAAAAUGGGCUAUGGCGGUACAUAUCCAAAUCACCCUGCAGACAGUUCAUACAUCUAUUUUGAGAGGGCCACAUCUAGUGUUUGGGAGGGAGUACCCAGAAUGAGAGCUUGCCCUUAUUGAAAUAUUUUUGAACCCUUAUAGAAAAUUUCUUAUAAAGUGAUUUUAGAGUUUUGUACACUAGUAAAGCUCAUUGUAAAUGAAGCAAACAGAACAGCAAAUUGGUACUUCAAAUCCUGAGUAGUUCAUAUUUACAUACCUUUGGAUAGCCUAUUGUAAAUGGAACAAGGAUAACACCAAAAAAUCUGAAGAACUCUUUCAUUGAUUUUGCCACAGGAUUUCCUUCCUUACCAUCUUGCAUAUUGAUCUGAAAUAAAAACAAUAAUGUCUUGAAAACAAAAUAAAGAUAAGACGCCUGAAUUACAGCGGCCAUAAUGCAAACCUCUACUGUAGCAAAAAAUGAUAUAGAUGUUAACACUGGCAGGAUGAAAAGAUCAUCACGAGUUGUCAAAUCAGUAAACCAAUAUGCACCACCUCCUUUAAGAGAAGGGACUUUCUCAACCAUGUUAGAUAUCUACAAUUGGAAUAGAAAACACAAGAUGUUAAGUAAAAAAAAAUAAGGCAAAUGCUAUUGCUACAUGAUACAAUAUAAUUCGGUGACAAUGAAAUUGCUGAUUAGAACUUUGGACGUAACAAAGUGGUGUAAACUUACAGCAAAGAAAACACUCAUGAAUAUAGACCCCUGUAUGAAUAGACCCUUCAAUGGUGUAAAUGGAGUCACACCAUGUCUGAAGCAAGAAAGUAAUGAAACAAUUGUUUUAGUAAUAUCUCCCAUACAGUUCAUAUGACAGGAGGAGGAAUAGACUAAUUACAAAAGCUAAUCGAAGGGGCGGUCAAGUUAGUUAAGAUGUUCAAUGAUUUAGGACAGCGGAGGUUGCUUUCAUAUUGCACGCACAGACGAUGGCAUGAGGAAAAUAACAUCCAAAAGUCUUAUGUGAAGCUAGCCAAUUAAAGGAAUAAAGUUAAGUUCGAGGUGUUGAAUAGGCCUGGUAAAAAUGAUGAAUUUGUAACAUUGAUACACAAAAUAUUUCGAAUCAUGCAUAAAUGAAACGAGAAAGUAUCUUGCAGUUUUGAAAUUAAAUAAAAACUCAGAUAUAUAUAAAGCUGCAUACCUAGUGAAUAGCUCACGCAAUUUCUGUCUCCUCACUUUCUUUGAUCUUGGAUCAGUUGACUGAAAGGCAUAAAUAGUAAAAUAGUAUAUCAUUACUAGCAUACCCAGUAAAUCCUACAAAGAUACCAUAUAAACUGCAAGGUGAACUGAAAAAAAAAUGUACUCACAUUUCGCAUCUCUUCAUUGAUGGCUUCAACUUCUGGUCUCAUGUCCUGCAUCAUAUUGUUGAAGUCCGCUUAGAUGUGUAUGAUAUGAUAUUUUUUUCUAAAAAAACAAAAUGACAUCGCUAAAGGAAUACAUAGCAGAAGGAAUAUCCAAUGCCUCUUCCUCUUUAGCACUGGAGGAGCUCUUGAAUUUCAGAAUUUCGAGUGCAACAGAAUGACUUCCUACGAUUUACUUCAUGCACCUUCAAAAACUCACUGCACGGUAUUAUGUUUCUUAUUAAUGCCUUUAACUACACGUUUACAGCCACAACUGGACGCUGUAUAUGCUACUGUCAAGGUUCAAAGCCAUCGCAGUCAUGAUUCAAGAACAAACACCAUAAUCAGAUUGUUUUUCUCCCCCAAAUAAUAUCCAUUCUGGCUAUUUUAGGCUAGAGAUUGUUGGAUGCGAGAACAUUGAGCCACAGCCCGAAGCAACACGCCUUUAAAUUUGCCUGUUCCAGUUCAGGGUUGGGUUUGAGAUUUCCUAGGUAGUUAAAGCAUACAAAAGCUUCACUUUAAAUCCACUUUUGUGAUAGCUACAUUCAAAUCACACCAAAACAACAUGCAUCCAUCCAGCAAUAUGCUGUAAGUUUCUACUUUCUAACAUCAGCAUCACUAGAAAAUUGCACAGAAAUGGUGUGAUCCUUUGCUUCACCUAACUCAAGUUCGAUUUUGAGAAGUUUUAGACGUUUAGGUUCGAAUUUGAUAAACCGAACAGGUUUUGUGCGCUCUCAUAUGACACCUCUGCUAUUAACAAACAUGAGUGAAAAUAGGGCAUUUACUAGGAACAUAAGGUUCUAAAGUGCAUGCAUUACUUUUAACUUCAUAAUGGACUUUUCCCGGUUGAUGAGCAUUGGGACUGUCAGUAACCGGAUGAGCACUGCCGUCAGCGCAAUAGUAGCCCACCUACACAUCACCGAGCAGGAAGAUGGAAUGGAACCACAUGACAGGACGUUUACAGGAAGAAACCAAAGCUAAAACCUUGCGCAGCACCAAUGAAGGCAUACCAGUUGAGGCCAGUGAAGGACCGCACGGCGUCCAGGAGGUAUUGCAGGGCGGCGACCGGGGGAAAUGAUUCGGCUGCUGCGGCAGCCACCUCCCCCGCGUACGGCGCUGGAGGCACGGGUACGGAGGCUGCGGCGGAAACCACUUGGUCCGAGACAGGGACCGAGGAGGCGGCGUCGGUGAGCAUGUCUGCCGCGACAUCGAUGUCUGGUGCUGAUGCGGAAGAGGUCGUGGAGAAGUUACGGUGGGCCGCGAGAUGGAGCGCGAAGGGGAGGGGGAGGCUGGUAAGGGCUCGGGAUCUCGACGGCCGGGCAAGGGAGGAGGGGAUCGGCCUCGCGGGCUGUGAUUGAGGUGAAGGCGGGGCGGCCGAGGAGGAGGGGCUUUCGGAGCGGCCGUGGUGGGGCGGGAUGAGGUGCGAGAUGGAGGGGUGGAGGCGGCGGGAGAAGUGGUCGGAGAGGCUGGUGGCAAGUCUCCUCCGCGCGGCGAAAGCCAUGGCGGCGGCGGCGGGCAGAUCGCGAGAUGGUGGGAGGGCCGGAGCCCGCCGGAGGGGAGGUCGACGACAGGUCAGGUCGAGGGGAGAAGAGAGGGUUUAAACGGGUGAGAAUCUCUCUCUCUAGCAUUACUCGUAUAAUACAAGCACACCUGUAAGACUGUAAUGUAAUUCAGAAUUUCAGUGCUCCAAAAAUACACAACAUUGCAAAUUUACAGAUACAAGUGUAUCUCAUUUGAGCUUUGAGCAAUAAGAAAAAAAAUCAUUCAGUGGGUGCUGCUCGGCAGAAUCACUAUACUUAAUCCAAGGAACAGCAUGCUAUUGUUAAGCUAGUUAGGUUAUAUCGUAUUAUGAAACAAUUACAGAUGCCAAAAUUGCUCCAAUUUAUUCACUGAAACGACAGUGGACCC